rnacentral:rRNA from 1 species
UGCCAGCCGCCGCGGUAAUACAGAGGGUGCAAGCGUUAAUCGGACUGACUGGGCGUAAAGGGCGUGUAGGCGGCUAAUUAAGUCGGGUGUGAAAUGGCAGGGCUUAACCUUGUCAGGUCAUUCGAUACUGGUUAGCUAGAGAGCAGGAGAGGGAAGUGGAAUUUCCGGUGUAGCGGUGAAAUGCGUAGAUAUCGGAAGGAACACCAGUGGCGAAGGCGACUUCCUGGCCUGCAACUGACGCUGAGACGCGAAAGCGUGGGUAGCGAACAGGAUUAGAUA